AUUGAACGCUGGCGGCAGGCUUAACACAUGCAAGUCGAGCGGAGCGUCGGUCGGGUGAGUAAUGCCUAGGCAUCUUCCUGGUAGUGGUGGAUAACGUCCGGAAACGGGCGCUAAUACCUCAUACUAUCCGAUUAGCCUAGGUCGGAUUGGCUAGUUGGUGGGGUAAAGGCCUACCAAGGUGACGAUCCGUACCUGGUCCGAGGGGAUGAUCAGUCAAUCUGGAAUUGGGCCACGGCCCAGCCUCUAACGGAGGGAAGAGGUGGGAAUUAUUGGACAAUGGGCAAAAGCCUGAUCAGGCCAUGCCGCGUGUGUAAAGAAGGUCUUCGGAUUUAAAGGCACUUUAAGUUGGGAGGCGUUACCAACAGAAUAAGCAACGGCUAACUACGUGCCAGCAGCCGCGGUAAUUC
rnacentral:rRNA from 1 species